rnacentral:rRNA from 1 species
AUGCGAGAUGGUCUAUACUACUUGGAUGAUGAUAUGACACCUAUGGCUACUGCUGUGCUGUCUCGGCCACCAUUGGAAGAAUUUCUUCUUCAUCAUCGCAGGCUGGGACACAUGUCCUUUAACACCCUGGAAGUACGGUGCCAUUUCAAACUAUCCACUCAGAUGUGUGGGGUCCUAGUGGAGUGUGGUCACUUUAUGGGCCUGGACAACGAGACAGGGGGAGAUGACAGCAGAGAAGACAAUGAUGUAGCACCAGAUAAGAUGAUAGUUGGGGUUAUACCUAUUGAAGAUGUGCAAGACAAUGCAGUGCGAGAACAUGAACAGAGGGAACAACAAAGUGACUCUAAUGGAUCAUUGCAAUGGCCAAAACUGAAUGAGGAACGAGAAGUUCAAGUGUUUACAUGGAGGAAUAGAUGGCCAAAACCGAAUGAGGAACGAAAAGUUCAAGUGUUUACAAGGAGGCAUAGAAUUGAGAAGGAGCAAGUGCAGAGGCAAGAACCUAACCCACUGGAGUGUGGUACAGAAACUCAAGAGCUUACUGAUAUACAUGAUUUAGAUGAUGGUACGCUUCCUCAUUCUCUUCCACAUGAGGAUUUAGAUGCUCCUAUUGCUCUUAGGAAGCAGCCGCACUACUGCUAG